GAUGAAGAACGUAGCGAACUGCGAUAAGUAAUGUGAAUUGCAGAAUUCAGUGAAUCAUCGAGUCUUUGAACGCACAUUGCGCCCCCUGGCAUUCCGGGGGGCAUGCCUGUCCGAGCGUCAUUGCUGCCCUUCAAGCCCGGCUUGUGUGUUGGGUCGUCGUCCCCCCCGGGGGACGGGCCCGAAAGGCAGCGGCGGCACCGCGUCCGGUCCUCGAGCGUAAGGGGCUUUGUCACCCGCUCGAUUAGGGCCGGCCGGGCGCCAGCCGGCGUCUCCAACCUUCUAUUUUACCAGGUUGACCUCGGAUCAGGUAGGGAUACCCGCUGAACUUAAGCAUAUCAAUAAGCGGAGGA
rnacentral:misc_RNA from 1 species